rnacentral:rRNA from 1 species
GGUCAAGCUACUAAGGGCAUACGGUGAAUGCCUUGGCACUUUGAGGCGAUGAAGGACGUGGAAAGCUGCGAUAAGCGACGGUGAGGAGCACUCAUCCAUUGAACCGUCGAUUUCCGAAUGGGGGAACCCUUUUAACUGCUGUCUGAAUUCAUAGGACAGUAAGAGCCAACCUAGGGAAGUGAACCAUCUCAGUACCUCGAGGAAAAGAAAACAACAGUGAUUCCGUGAGUAGCGGCGAGCGAAAGCGGAACAGCCUAAACCGAUGGGGCUUGCUCCAUCGGGGUCGUGGGACCAGACAUAACGUCGGAAUAGGUUAGCGGAAAUGUGUGGAAAAGCAUACCGUAGCGCGUGAUAGUCGCGUACGCGAAAACCGAAAACCGACAGUUUGGCACCCGAGUAAUGCGGGACACGAGAAAUCCUGCAUGAAUUUGCCGGGACCAUCCGGUAAGGCUAAAUACUCCGAAGUGACCGAUAGUGAACCAGUACCGUGAGGGAAAGGUGAAAAGAACCCCGGUGAGGGGAGUGAAAUAGUACCUGAAACCGUUUGCUUACAAGCAGUCGGAGCGCCUUCGGGCGUGACGGCGUGCCUUUUGCAUAAUGAGCCGGCUAGUAGAUGUCACAGGCAAGGUUAAACGAUAAGUGAGCCGAAGCGAAAGCGAGUCUGAAUAGGGCGAUAAGUCUGUGGUAUCUGGACGUGAAACGGGAUGAUCUAGGCAUGGGCAGGAUGAAGCGUGGGUAACACCACGUGGAGGUCCGAACCAGUAUGGGUUGAAAACCGUUUGGAUGACCUGUGCCUAGGGGUGAAAGGCCAAUCAAAUUCCGUGAUAGCUCGUUCUCGCCGAAAUAUCUUUAGGGAUAGCCUCGGAUGUAUCAUCGUGGUGGUAAAGCACUGACUGGGCUAGGGGCCUCACAAGGUUACCGAACUCAAUCAAACUCUGAAUGCCAUGAAUGUC